GCGGAGGAAAAGAAACCAACAGGGAUUACCUUAGUAACGGCGAGUGAAGCGGUAAUAGCUCAAAUUUGAAAUCUGGCUCUAGGGUCCGAGUUGUAAUUUGUAGAGGAUGUUUCGGGUGCGCCCGCAGUUUAAGUUCCUUGGAACAGGACGUCAUAGAGGGUGAGAAUCCCGUCUUGAACUGUACGGCAAGUCCAUGUGAAACUCCUUCGACGAGUCGAGUUGUUUGGGAAUGCAGCUCAAAAUGGGAGGUAAAUUUCUUCUAAAGCUAAAUAUUGGCCAGAGACCGAUAGCGCACAAGUAGAGUGAUCGAAAGAUGAAAAGCACUUUGAAAAGAGAGUUAAACAGUAUGUGAAAUUGUUAAAAGGGAAGCGUUUGCAACCAGACUUGUUUCUAACAGUUCUACCGCAGUUCUCUGUGGCCUAUUCUGUUAGUCCAGGCCAGCAUCAGUUUGGGUGGCUCGUUAAAGACUUUGGGAAUGUAUCUACUCCUUCGGGUGUAGACUUAUAGCCCCAUUGUGUAAUAGGGUCUACCUGGACUGAGGUA
rnacentral:rRNA from 1 species